rnacentral:lncRNA from 1 species
CUUAAGUCAGACAGACAACCUGAGGCGGUUCAAUCUUCUGUUUUUCAGAGACAACAGGAUUUUCCCCUUCUCUCCACCUUCACAACGGAGCUGCCAGUUGGCGCCACAUCCUCUCACUCCUGCUCUCAUUCCGAUGUGACUUCCAUCUGACGCUCGCUAAUGCUGCAUGUCAAAAUACACACAGGAGGGGACCUUGCUGUAGAUGGGCUGCAGACGCUGGUCCCCAGCAGCUCACUCAGAGAGGUCGCGCCGCAUAGUGACACGCGUCAGGGUCACUGUCAACGGAAGUCGUCCGCAGUCUGUCCCCCAGCCCAGCCUCUCCUUGUGUGCACAUUCCCAGAAAGAUAUGACCUGCCAGCAAUGGUCUCUCCCUGCCGCCCGCAAUGAAGCAAGGGGACAGAGGAUGCCACUGCUCGCCGUCUUCGCCGGUCACAGUUAGUAUCCAGACUUUCCUGAUUGGAUUCUAUUACCAGCCGGCAUUCCAGCUCAUCAAUGGCCUCUCAUUUUCAUCACUGAUUACACCUGGCAUCAUUCCUCAGCAGCCAAUAAUCGUCGCCCGGCCGCUCUACAAAACACCAACCAUCUCCCAUUGCAACAAGGGGAAAUGGGGAAGACAUCAUGGGAGUGCCUAGGCAAGACGCCCAUGGGCCGUACCCGUCGUGAGUCAUUGUCUGAAUGACUCGGGCGGUCCACCCAAUGUAAUGUUUUGUAAGUUAGCGAGGGGUGGGGAGGUUUCUGUUUUAGAUUCAAUGCAUUCCUUUGCUUCUGCCCAGACCCUUUACCUCAACGUAUCUGUAUGGUUAAUAAUCCAGUUUACACGGCACCCUGUUGUCAGGGGUCCCGUUUAAUGCACCAACCCUCACUGCGCCCUCACUUCCUCACGGAGAGCACCCG